AUAUCUCGGCUCUCGCAUCGAUGAAGAACGUAGCGAAAUGCGAUACUUGGUGUGAAUUGCAGAAUCCCGUGAACCAUCGAGUCUUUGAACGCAAGUUGCGCCCCAAGCCGUCAGGCCGAGGGCACGCCUGCCUGGGCGUCACGCAA
rnacentral:rRNA from 5 species